CGCCGUCGAUCUGGGGCGAGUAUAUGGUCCGGGAGAAUCGCCGGGACACGAGCGAACUAAUACUCCCUCCAAUUUGACGAUGUGAUGAGCGGGGCGGGCAGAAUUGAUCGCCGGAGCGUCAACUCCGCCACGGUCCCACGCUACGCCAUCGCCAGAUCGAACACCACUCUGAUAACGGUGAGAAUCUUCCCCAUAUAAUUCGCUAUGCCUUUCCGUACAUAUAGUGUCGUUCGCCGUAGUGAUUGGCCGGCGGGGGCGGGCGUUGGCCGAACGCCGGUGAGGCUCACCGCUGUUGAUGGCUGGGCACCGCCGUGGCAUCGUCGGGCUGAAGGAGAAGAUCCAUGGCCGACCGAUCUUAUUCGUGCGGCUAGGAUUGAUCCUGGGCGGUCCGGUUCAGCCAUUAAAUACAAACUAUUGAUCCAUGUCUCGACAGUGCGGAUUAGAUUAUUGUUUCAUUAAAUCCUAUUCGUUGGAUCCCAAAUGUGCGCGUGAGAUUAGAAGCUCGCGUACCUGUUCGUGAUGACGAGGACCUAAUUGUCAUCACUGAUCCGCGAUCGGACGGCCCAGGCACGAUGAUACCCCUUCGCGGGCAAAGUUUCUAAAGAACCCCCAAACUUUUGUCAAAUAAACCCGUCGUCCACCUUUAUGUAAAGAUCACAGCAGAAAGGUUUGUAUUCUUUAGAAUUUGACCCUGAGUUUCCAGGAAAUCAUGCCCAACAUCCUUACUUUAAGAUAAAAUAAAUAAAACAAAAUAAGGAUUACAGAAAAGCCUUUUAUAAUUCUUUUCAAGUAUAAAAUAAUUAGAAAAAUGCCUAGAGUCUUAGCAAAACUAUAUCUUCUCUGUUUUAAAUCUGAUUCGAUCCAUUCAACUUGCGAUGGCUUAGUAAUAACAUUGUCUGCGCCAUAACAACAUUAGUUUUACCAUAACACAUAUUUUUAUAAUUGGAUAUUGUUUAAUCUAUGUUUAGUAGAUUAAGCUUGCUGAUCAAAGCUAACCUAUCUAUAAUAAUAAUCUGACUAAAAUAUAAUAUCUAUUCAAGCUAUUGUACUUAGAUACUAGAUGAAUGUCCUAGAUUUAAAAUAUGCAUGUGAGCAUUAUACCCAUUUGAGCAACAGAUAACUGCCCUUCAGACUUUACUAUAAUAAAAUUAUGAGCGCCGAAGAGUUUGUAGUUUGUAUACACCAGAGUUCCGAAGGUUAUAUCAUAAUGUUAUUGAAUAUAUGUCGAAGAGGCAAUCGCAGUGGUACAUGAGAACGCUAAUUGGUCCUUAUAGUAAAAUCCCAUUACAUAUACGAAGGGAUACAUGUUUGAGGAUCAUCUUAACUGUCGACGCCGCCUCUCUCUAGGUUGUCGACGCUCAAGGCAUUGUGGUCGUUUCUGUCGUUGUGCGCAAUAGCCCUCCAGCACAGUGGUAUUUCAACAUCGUACGUGUGGAUACCAUGGAGACGUUGUUCUUGUUGCAACAGUGUUGAAGAAAAGAGUGAUGUUCUACUACUUGUGCUAUGUUGACGCCUUCUUCUUAUGUUACGCCACAUGUCUAGUGGUAACUAUCCAUGAUUCGAUACUUGCAUGUUAUCUUUGGUUGAACGUGGUAGAUAUGCUAGUGUGUGGCGUGCAUGUUUUCCAAUAAGUAUGACCUUAA
rnacentral:lncRNA from 1 species